rnacentral:lncRNA from 1 species
AUGACCUCCCACGCGCAGGACCUCACCAAUACUUCCUUCGGCUACGAUGAGGCCAACUGCAGCGUCCUGGGGAUCGGGCAGUACUCCACGCUCAGCAUCCCUACGAGGGAGGCCUUUGGGGACAGGUUUGCCGACGAGCUGAGCGUGCUGCUGAGGCUCAGGUACUCGCUGAAGGAGGACACCAGCCUGGUGACCAUCCUGAGCCACCGGAGCCGCGUGCUCUUCCAGAUCCGGGUGAGCCCCUACGGCCUGGUCUUUGUCACCACGAGGAGGAGACACUAUGAGUUCCCAGUUUCCCAGCUCAGCGACGGGCGCUGGCACCGAGUGGCUCUCGGCAUCUCCUCGGAGGGGCUGGAGCUGCACGUGGACUGCCGGCUGGUGGGGAGAGCGAGCUGGUCCGGCCACAUCGGGAUGGGAGUGAGCACGGAGGGGCUGGUCGUCCUCGGGGGCCUGGUCGAGGCCUUCGAGAUCCCCUUCGAGGGUGCCCUCCAGCAGCUGAUCUUCGUGAUGGGAGACCCAGCAGCCGCCAACGAGCACUGCCACAGCUACGGCAAAGCGUGCGCCCCCCGCCUCAGCCGCCUGCUGUCCCCGGGGGACCUCUCACCACCCGCAUGGCCAGAGGUGCCAAAGGAAACCAACGAAAUCUGGGAUGCGUCUGCUCAGGUACGGCUCUCCUGCGCUGCGGCAGGGGCUAUGGGCAGGUUUGCUCCAG